rnacentral:rRNA from 1 species
AGCAGCCGCGGUAAUUCCAGCUCCAAUAGCGUAUAUUAAAGUUGCUGCAGUUAAAAAGCUCGUAGUUGAAUUUCGGGGUCAAUAUGUUGGUCGUGCCUUGGUACGUACUAGCUUAUUGAUUUCUCCUUUCUGACGAACCAUGAUGUCAUUAAUUUGGUGUCAUGGGGAAUCAGGACUGUUACUUUGAAAAAAUUAGAGUGUUUAAAGCAGGCUCGCGCUUGAAUACAUUAGCAUGGAAUAAUGAAAUUAGGACAUUUGAUUCUAUUUUGUUGGUUUCUAGGAUCGAUGUAAUGAUUAAUAGGGAUAGUUGGGGGCAUUAGUAUUCAAUUGUCAGAGGUGAAAUUCUUGGAUUUAUUGAAGACUAACUACUGCGAAAGCAUUUGCCAAGGAUGUUUUCAUUAAUCAAAAUCGAAAGUUAGGGGAUCGAAGACGAUCAGAUACCGUCGUAGUCUUAACCAUAAACUAUGCCGACUAGGGAUCGGAUGAUGUUAAUUUUUUAAUGACUCAUUCGGCGCCUUAC